AGACGUAUGAGCAAAAAAAGAAAAGAAAAGAAUUAGCUAGAGUUGAAACAGCUCACACACACAAAAAACACCAUCUCCCAACAAAAAAGACCAACCUGUGACCUUCACCCAUUCCAUCUUCCAUACACCCAUCAUCUUCAACCUUCCCUAAACCCAUCCCAUUCUUCCUGAACAGCACACCACACAGGGAGGAUAAAUAAAUAAACACAAAAGUCGGUGUCCUUAUCUCCUCCAACCAACAACCGGUCAUAGCAGCUCCGUUAGCCAAGUUCCCCCAGCAACAGUCUCUCCUCAGCACCUGACAUCACUUUGCCUUCGCCGUGCACAACUAUCAACUACAUCAGCAUAGCCACUCGGGAGCCAUUCUGCACGCACCGGUGACCUCUCCUCUAGAUCCAGCGCAGCUGGUACUUCUAGCUCUAACAACAUCUCUUCAGCAAUCGUCAACAACAUCUCCUUUACAUCAACAUCACUGGUUCCACCGUGACCUUCUUCAUCAGUAGCUCUCUCCUCAGCAAUGCAACAACAAUGAUAAUCAUAAUAUUUAUCUAGUAUUUUAAUCAUGUUUUAUAUAUAAAAUGUUUUGAUAAUCUUUAUUUUAUUUUUU
rnacentral:lncRNA from 1 species